rnacentral:misc_RNA from 1 species
AACCAUUCUCACCUGCGGCUAGACCUGCGGAGGGAUCAUUACUUAGUACGCAGGCCGCAAGGCCCGCUGGAAACGCGGGGGCUUUGAACCCCCCUGCGCGUACGGUAGACCCUUUGUGAAAAUCCCUUGUUGCUUCGGCAGCUCCUCCCUUGAUCCGCUGGGGAGUGGUUAGCCUGCCGAUGGCACGUUCCGGAAACCCCUUUUUUAUGAAAGAAAGCAUUGAAAAAAGUCUGACCAACA